rnacentral:rRNA from 1 species
UGGGGGAUAACUAUCCGAAAGGAUAGCUAAUACCGCAUAUUCUAUGAGUAGGAAAGCGGGGGAUCUUCGGACCUCGCGCUCUAGGAGCGGCCGAUGUCAGAUUAGGUAGUUGGUGGGGUAAAGGCCUACCAAGCCGACGAUCUGUAGCGGGCCUGAGAGGAUGAUCCGCCACACUGGGACUGAGACACGGCCCAGACUCCUACGGGAGGCAGCAGUGGGGAAUUUUGGACAAUGGGGGCAACCCUGAUCCAGCCAUGCCGCGUGAGUGAAGAAGGCCUUCGGGUUGUAAAGCUCUUUCGGCCGGGAAGAAAUCGUGUGGGCUAAUACCCUGCAUGGAUGACGGUACCGGAAUAAGAAGCACCGGCUAACUACGUGCCAGCAGCCGCGGUAAUACGUAGGGUGCGAGCGUUAAUCGGAAUUACUGGGCGUAAAGCGUGCGCAGGCGGUUUUUUAAGACAGGCGUGA